rnacentral:rRNA from 1 species
UAGGCUGCAACUCGCCUACACGAAGUUGGAAUUGCUAGUAAUCGUGGAUCAGCAUGCCACGGUGAAUACGUUCCCGGGUCUUGUACACACCGCCCGUCACACCAUGGGAGCUGGUAACACCCGAAGUCAGUAGUCUAACCGCAAGGAGGACGCUGCCGAAGGUGGGAUUAGCGACUGGGGUGAAGUCGUAACAAGGUAUC